UUAUUUUACCUGGCAUACAUGUUGUUUAAAAUUAAAAUGUAUUGUGUCAAAUUGUUUGUAUACGCAUUAAUAACACACAUUAGUGUUACAAUGGCGAUACCACAAAACAUGUUAAACUGUGGUAUUUUUGCUUAAGGUUAUUAUUAUACUGCCAAAAUCUCAUACCGGCCCAUGCCUAAUUAAAACAAAUCAGAGCCACCAACUUCUCAAAAAUAUGAACAUUUUUAUUUCCAUUUAGCCUUGGCCUAAGGUCAUGUGAUUGGUCUCUUUCGAUUCGAAAAUACCACGAUUGGCCACAAUGCUGACACAUUUUUUUCAAACUCAGCUUACACUGUAAAUUGGCUCAUUACCAAUUUUGGUUUCCAUUUGUAAGACUGGUGGUUGAAUGAAAUAAUUUGCAUUAUACAUCACCAAAGUAUGUUCGACAGAUUUUUUUCUCAAAGUAUUGUUAAAUUUCCUAUGUAUACGUAACCAAUUUGGGGCCACCUGGUACUCAAAAGCUGCAAGUGAUGGCUAUAUCUGCUAAUUUCAUUUGCACUGGUUGUCUUAAAUUAAGGCUGGGACAAUUAAUCGUGCAAAUGCGCUUUUUCUGAAUUAAUUAUUUUUUAUAAAUUACGGUAAAAUGCCGCCACAUCUAAAAGCCAGAGUGCGCUCUCAUGUCGAAACUCCAUUUGUGCCACAGAAGUACCACCAUUACAAACACUAUUCCAGAAAAUAUCUACAUAGCUGUUUUUCAGAUUGUUUUAGGUAUUUUCAUGAUAAUAAAGAAUAUUUUGAAAUAUUGUGUUUCACGAGCUUUUUUAAAUGCACGUCAUAAACGACUCAGACUCGUAGUGAUUUUAGAUUGAUAAGGACUUCCUACUGAUCAAAGACCUGUAGUACACACACAAGCUGCGCAUGAAACACAGAAUCAGAGUCUUGCGAUUCAGAAUCGAUUUCACACAGUUAUUUUUAAUGGGAAACGCGAUGCAUCUUCACAGCCCUAUCUUAAAUGUAACAUUCUGUUCUGUUCUUUAAAGAGGACUCAGGAUACUCUCAGGAUAUCAGGUGUAUUUGUACAGCCUCCAGCUGUAUUUGCCAGUUGUAUUUAUUUCCGCAUUGUUUAUUUAGUCUCUUUUCCUUUUCUGACGGUAUGAACAUACUAAUUCUCUGUUGUCGGAACUUUUAACUCUUUUUAACAAUUGCACAUAAACGGUCAAAACCUGAUCUAGAGCAGGGGAGAAGAACUGCAUAGCAUCUGCUACUUGAAGCUUUUCCUAAGAAGACACCGUGCUUUCAUCAAUCCUUUUCAAAUAAUCUUCAAGGCUUUCCCUGUCUAAAACAAGAAAAACUACGGUCGUUCAGAAGUUAAAGUGGCAUACAUUGUAUCUUGACACCCUGUGUCGCUUUAACAUAUGUUGCGUGAACUGCAUUUCUGACCAAAUUCCCCAAGCUCUUGUUCGGACGCAGCCUGGACUACUGUGGAGACAAUGUGAUGCACUGUACGUACAGUUCUGCCAGAUUAUGGACUAUUAGGAUUAUGGGCCAUUUAGAAUAACCAAACUUUGUAGUUUUGUAAUAAGGUUGUUUGAUUGUGUGUCUGUAUUUUUAUUUCUCUUUCUAUUAUUUCAUUGUAAUACUGUGUGAAAAUGUGAGAAAAAUCCUACUGAAGGGUGGAGGGUUUAAGGGUAUGUCUGAUUUGGCCAGAUGACUUGGGUGUUUCCGGUAAACACCCAAAAGAAACCUGGGAAAAAUGUUAUACAGUGCCAUUUUGAUUAGCUUUUGUUGAUGUUUCCAGACAUUUUUGUCUGUAAAAUAAAGCUUGAUGCAGGCUGUCUACGUUAUUUAGAGUGUGUCUAAGACACAAAAUAUGCAGAAUCAAAAAGACUGUCGCCUAUUUCCAUGUCUGUGCAUUGGGUGUGUUAAUACCUCAAGGUGUUUUUAGUUUAAAUGUAAAAAAUAUUUUCAAUCAUGUGCACUGGGUGUGUUAAGACCUUAGGGUGUUUUUAUUUAAAAAAAAAUAUUUUCAAUCAUAACAUACAGCAGAAUGUAACUGGAAAAUAUGAUACAAAUAAAGAAAAUGUAUUGUCCACAACUCUCUUUAUUUUCCUUAAGGCUAAAAUGAAGUAGCAGAAAGCACCAGGUUCAUGGAUGCAGUUUUAUAGACAUGAGAUUAUGUAUUGUGAACAAGCAGCUUCACUUUGUGAAAUGCACUGCUUGAGACAUGUUAAGGUUAUUCAUUGCUCGGAUGUUUGAAAAAAAUGGUACUUUGUAAGCUAACCAUUUUAAAAUUGGGUAACUCACUAACUAAUAAUCUUGCCGUGGUUAUUUUUAAUAAAAAAGUGGGCAGCGCCAUAUUUGA